AGGGAAUCUUCCACAAUGGACGCAAGUCUGAUGGAGCAACGCCGCGUGAGUGAAGAAGGUUUUCGGACCGUAAAGCUCUGUUGUUGGUGAAGAAGGAUAGAGGUAGUAACUGGCCUUUAUUUGACGGUAAUCAACCAGAAAGUCACGGCUAACUACGUGCCAGCAGCCGCGGUAAUACGUAGGUGGCAAGCGUUGUCCGGAUUUAUUGGGCGUAAAGCGAGCGCAGGCGGAAGAAUAAGUCUGAUGUGAAAGCCCUCGGCUUAACCGAGGAAUUGCAUCGGAAACUGUUUUCUUGAGUGCAGAAGAGGAGAGUAGAACUCCAUGUGUAGCGGUGGAAUGCGUAGAUAUAUGGAAGAAUACCAGUGGCGAAGGCGGCUCUCUGGUCUGCAAACUGACGCUGAGGCUCGAAAAGCAUGGGUAGCGAACAGGAUUAGAUACCCUGGUAGUCCAUGCCGUAAACGAUGAGUGCUAAGUGUUGGGAGGCUUCCGCCUCUCAGUGCUGCAGCUAACGCAUUAAGCACUCCGCCUGGGGGAGUACGAC
rnacentral:rRNA from 1 species